rnacentral:misc_RNA from 1 species
AAGUCGUAACAAGGUUUCCGUAGGUGAACCUGCGGAAGGAUCAUUAGCGAAGUUCGGAAUGCAUGUUCGAUGUUGAUGCUGCCCAGCAAUGGGAUGUGCUCGCUCGGAUGUGUGUCCCUUCUCUAUCCACCCCAUUGUGAACCAAGUGUGUGAGCCAAAGAGAAAUCGGACGCUCGCAUGCAAACCUUUAACAUACCCCAAUAAAGUAUCAGAAUGUACCUUGCGUUAACUCGCACAAAUAUAACUUUCAACAACGGAUCUCUUGGCUCUC